CAGAGCACCUACUUCUUAGCAUACCUUUCACUUUCACUUUCCCAGAACUCAGGGGUGCAGCCCCCAUUUCUUCUCUGAGAUGAUCCAUGUUCCUGAGACCUGUUCGGACAGUCUCCUGUUGUCCCACAUCACCUGGUGGCACAGUCUCUUGUUGUCCUGCAUCUUGCCCCAGCUGGUCAAAGAUGGCAGAGUCCAAUCCCUAGCCAGCAUAUCUUGGCUUGGCAAGCAGGGAAAUAAAGCACAGAGAGAACAAAGAUGGCAGACAAGGUGGGUACCAUCCUGAGACAUCUGGGGAUGCUCCUACCGAAGGCAACAUCUGGGUAUGUGCUUCCUAUGGCCCAGCAGGGAGAAGUGUUUAGGUCCUUCAGCUCCAAAAGCAAACUGGUAGGUUGGGAGGUGACCCAGUGUUGCUGUGGGACCAUACCAUUGGUGGCUAAGAGGUAGUUUUCCUGGGGAUUGCAGGAGGGUGCCAGAGCUCCUACCUGAGAGCAGGCACCCAACUCAGACAUUCAUGGGCUGGGCAGGCUAAAGAAGCUUGGCGUUAGUGGUCUGGAAUGUGUAGAAUGUUGGUGGAGGCUGCUGCUUUCUCAAAGUCUGUCUGCCCUGAUCUGGCUGCAUCCCACCUGUCUCACCCAGACCUGUAGCUCUGGAAUUCUGACACCCAGCAACCAGAGGUGGAGCUCCGGUCUGGGAGAGGGAACCUGUGGUCUGGGUGGGUUCUCUCUCUCUCUCUCUCUCUCUCUCUCUCUCUCUCUCUCUCUCUCUCUCUCUCCUCACCAGGAAUGUUCUACCUAUAAUGAUGGAUGACCAUGGGAGAAGAGUUGUGGGCUGGCAGCUAUCCACUGUUGGAGGACUGUCUGGAAAUACUGAAAAGGGUGGACAGGCUUAGACCCCACCCAUGGACAGCUGGCCUCACCCAUGCCUGUGCAGAACUCUGCAAGGAAGGCAGUUCCAGGUAGCCACUGAACGAUCUAGUCAUGGGAUCACUGCGCAGGCAGCAGCCUCUAUGACUCCUGGUUGGGCACAGACUUUUCCUUGCCGUACCCCUGAGAUCUACCUAAUACAAAGGUGAGCACCUCUGUUUCCUGGGCACCCAAUACAUGUACAAGUUGCUAAAAGGCAUCAAGAGAGGUCUUGGAGUAAUUGGUGCUUAAUGCCAAACCCCAAAGAUUAUACAGGUGGCAGAGAGGGUUGGUGGCCAGCUGUCUCUGAAGCUGAUCUCUCUUCCCUGGGACUGUGGGGGAUGAAGCCAGUGCUGGGGCACAGUGGGGAUGGUGUGCCAGGUGAGGCGGUCCGUGGGCUGAGUGCUAACAUAGCAGCUGGGUUUUUCCCUGUGUGGGACCCUCCUCUCCUGGUUUUACACCAUUUCCCAUGCACUUGGAUAUAAAAGUCUUUUGUGAUGUUGUCCUUUACUGUCGUCUUGACAGGAUUUGCAGUCACCAAGACAAACGUGCUCACACCUAUGAGAGUAUUUCCAGAGAGGGUUAAUUAGCAGAGAGGGCACCAUCUCAGGGCUUGGGGUCCUGGACUGAAUAAAAAGGGAAAAUGGAGCUGAGCUAGCAGCAGCAUUUCUCACCCCCUGCUGCCUGACUGGAUACAAAGUGACCAGCUGCCUCAAGCUCGUGCCUUCUCCCCCCAAGUCCUGUGAAGGACCAUAACCUCACACCUGUAAAAUCCCUUCCAUCCAUGUUUUUCUUUUUGUCAGAACAAAGAAAAAAGUAACCAAUACAGAAAAUUGGUACCUGGGAGUAGGGCUGGAGUAAACCUGACCAGGCUGUUCUUAGACCUUUGGAAUGGGGUGGGCAAGAGGAAAGCCCUAGAGUUCUCGGUGAAAAUAGAGACUAAUGGGCCAUGAGAGAAACCGAGGAGGGCCUGGCUCAUGAGGUCUCCAGAGAGUUAAGGACUUUCUUUAUGGGCAACCAGCCUAUGUGUGUGACAUUCUGGCAAAGAAUCUCAUCUUCAACCAUGCUUUGUCCAUGUCCCAAAAGCCUGAGUGAGGCUGAACUCAAAGGUAAUAGGCUAACUGGUUUGGUGGAGGAUACUUCAAGACAGAAUAGCAGGCAGCCCGUGGCUCGGCCACUGUUGGCUCUUCUCAGAAACGGGAGCAGCAAGCUAUGAAGAGUGCAGCUCAGCGAGUAAGGGUGUGUAAAGUCCCACGAGGCCUUGCUGGGAAAGCAGCUGUUGUUGUUAAAGACUUAACACCCUUAAAGGGAAACAUCAGUUCACCACCAGGACAACAGGCAAGGUACCCGGCAACUCAAGAUUCCACCUAUGAAAGGCUCUCACUUGUAGACUGCAGAUCCAUUCGAAAGGAGGGAGCCUGGGUGGUAUGGAGUGGACCUGAAUGAAGACAGGCUAUAUGCUGCAAGAAGCAGAAGUGCAGGAGAGGGCCUGCCCAAGGCUCUGGAGCCCAGAUGAUGCCCCCGAAGCCCAGGUGCUGCAUCAAGACUUGGUGUUUAUCUGGCUGGGACACACUUUUGCUUUGGUUCAAUCUCACUGUGUUGUGCCUCUAAUCCUCGUUUUAUUUGUGUAUGUGCGUGUGCAUGUGCAUGCAUAUGUGUGUUCAGAUGCAUGUAGGUACCUAGAAGAGGCCAAAAGAGGGCGUCAGAUCUCUGGAGUUGAAACUACAGGCAACUGUGAGCUCCGUGUCAUGGGUGCUGGAAACUGAACUGUGGUCCUUUGUAAGAGCAGUAACUGUUGAGUCUGCUGAGUCUCUGUCUCAUGUCCAAAUCCUCACCUUUGAAAUGGGAUCACUUAUUCUGUACCAUUGGAUAUUAGAAGUAUGUAACUUGUUUUGUUUUGUUUUUCCUUUAUUUCACAGGGGCUUACAGUUAAAAGAUUGCCUGAGACUCAGCAGAGAGUCUUGUACUUAUGUCUUGGGGGGUAGGGGGAGAAUUGGAUCUGUGAAGGGUUUGCAGAUUUUUAGAGAUGGACUAAAUGCAUAUUGCUGCAUAAAAUGAGCAUGAGACUUUCUAAGGUCAGAAUGUUACCAUUUAAAAGUGACAUGCUUGAGUGUCAAGUUAACAAGGGGUGGGCUGAGGUGGUUGGUAUUGUCAACCUGGUAGGAUUCACAAUCACAAGAAGACAAAGUUCUGGCCAUGUCAUUAGGGUGUUUCCAGAAAAGUUUAAUUGAGAAGAGAAAACCCACCCUGAAUGUGAAUAGCAGCAGCCCAAGGCUUAGGGUCCUGGAAUGAAUAAAACGGAGAAAGUGGGUGGAGAGCCAGCAUCCAGUGCUCCUGCUUCCUGACCAUGGACAGAAUCCAGCCAGCUCUCCUGCAUCCAUGGUUUUCCUCACCAUGAUGGAUCAUACCCUCAAGUUGUGAGCCAAAUAAACUCGUUCUUCCAUAAGGUGA